CACCAACUAAGGUUGGCAGCAGGCGCGCAAAUUGCCCAAUAGCAACAUCUAGCUGAGGCAGCGAAGAGAAAUAGCAACUUCAUGCGGCCCUGCCGUGUGAAGAUUGCCAUGGACGAUAUAUAAACCUGUCGGUGAGUAUCAAUUGGUGGACAAGUCUGGUACCAGCACCCGCGGUAAUUCCAGCACCAAUAGCGUAUAUUAAUGCUGCUGCUGUUAAAAAGCUCGUAGUUGGAUCAAGAGUUCGACAGUGCUAGGUGGCCUCGCUUGCUAACUUAGCUCCGGUCAUGUUAGCGGCGGCGGAUCAACCCCUAGCGUCAAACUGUCGUCUCUAACAGACCGAAGCGGUUCCCUGUGAGUAGGCCACUUUACUGGGGCUGAAAGCGUUUACGCAUCAACCACAUGCAUACGGGACGUCGGUCAAAGUUACUGUGAACAAACCAGCGUGUCCAAAGCAGGCUUGCCUGAAUGUUCGAGCAUGGAAUAACAAGGGAUCGAUUAUAUCGGUUCUUUUUGUUGGUUUUUAACCCGAGAAGGAGUAAUGCAGGCCACUGUGUCUGAGGUGGGUUUCCCUAGGCUUCGGUUUAGGCCCCAUCUAGGCCGUGUCCUUACGGGAUCAAUAGGGACUGACGGGGUCGUACCUACUUCCGCGUCAGAGGUGAAAUUCUUAGAUCGUGGGAAGAGGAACUUCUGCGAAAGCAUUCGACAAGAAUGUCUUCAUUAAUCAAGAACGAGAGUGUGGGGAUCGAAGAUGAUCAGAUACCGUCGUAGUCCACACUGUAAACAAUGCCGUCUCAGGAUUGAGAAGUGAACAGAAUGACUUUCACAGCACUAACCCCUGAAACGAGACAUCAAAGCUUAUGGGUUCAGGGGGGAGUACAUUCGCAAGGCUGAAACUUAAAGGAAUUGACGGAAUGACACCACAAGGCGUGGAGUAUGUGGCUUAAUUUGACUCAACACGGGAAAACUUACCAGGUUAGACAUAGCUAGGAUUGACAGAUUGAUAGCUCA
rnacentral:rRNA from 1 species